AAAAGUGAGGGAGAUGGCGUAUGGUUUCAGACUAGUGCUAUCUCUAUCAUGACACGCAUACGCACUAUCGUAAGAGAGAUGGAUAUUGUCCGAAACUUUGUUCCAUCUCUUUCUUUUGUUGUACCACAAUUCUGACCGCUAAGGCAUGUCCAUUAAUAAACGUCGAUGUAUGCAUAGCAUAGCGUAUAUGUUACAUUCAUAGAGUAAGCUAGAUUAUAAAAAUUCGGUUAAGCAUACAUUUUGUAUCUAUGUUAUUUGUAAGUACUAUCUACAACCAUACGAGUAUUGGUCGUGGAAAGUGGCGCUAUCUAAUCAGUUAGGUAGUAAUCGGGAACUAAUAAGGAGCAAGAGUACGAGUAUGUAGUCUAGGUAAGUCAGGGUAUGAAAUGUCGAGCGCGAGCGACACCUAAGUUUACCCCACGUAAGUUUUUAAAUUUUUUAAAUUACCAAAAUCGACAUUACCGACAUACUAGGCGACAUACAUUUUACUGAAACGACAACAGAUGAUGCGACGGCGGUUGCGAUUAUCGGAGGAAUUCCCCAGUAGUUGUGGCGUUAUUGAGCGAUAGUGAGUAGUUUCACAACUUGUAAUAUUUUAAAAUUUUUGUGAAAAGUACUUUUACCUAUCCUGAAAAAAAACCGUGAUGUACAGUCUACACUAUUACGGGGUCAAAUUAAUUUGAAAUGUUCUACCUAGAUUAUACAGUUCCUGCAGGAGUUAAAGGUGAAGAAGCCGCUUUCCAUUUUCCUGAAGUAACAGCGGUUCCAACGAAAGUGGCAGAACUUCUUCUAAUAGAGGAAUAGAAGCAGACGGAAUUGCCCCAUUAAAAGAUGAAAAAGUACUGCAUCCAGUGAAAACAUAUGACGGGAAAAGAAGAAUUGUUUCAACUGCAGAAAGUACACU